AGACCCAUUUCCUCCCGGUUGGGAGGAGAAUUGUCGGUUGUCCGCCCAGUCUCCUCUGUGGCGGACUCUGAUUAAAAGCAGUAGGUAUUGUGAUCAGGCUGGUGGCCUGGGACAUUGUGUGCUAGAGACGCAGAUAGUUUUCUGCAAGUCUUCUCACAAUGCGUCCUAGGUCCAAUGUAAAGCUGGCUUGGUCAUGACCUGCCCAGUGUCCCUUGUGGCACAACCCUCACAAA
rnacentral:misc_RNA from 1 species